rnacentral:rRNA from 1 species
GAUGAACGCUGGCGGCGUGCCUAAUACAUGCAAGUCGAGCGAACGGACGAGAAGCUUGCUUUUCUGAUGUUAGCGGCGGACGGGUGAGUAACACGUGGAUAACCUACCUAUAAGACUGGGAUAACUUCGGGAAACCGGAGCUAAUACCGGAUAAUAUUUUGAACCGCAUGGUUCAAAAGUGAAAGACGGUCUUGCUGUCACUUAUAGAUGGAUCCGCGCUGCAUUAGCUAGUUGGUAAGGUAACGGCUUACCAAGGCAACGAUGCAUAGCCGACCUGAGAGGGUGAUCGGCCACACUGGAACUGAGACACGGUCCAGACUCCUACGGGAGGCAGCAGUAGGGAAUCUUCCGCAAUGGGCGAAAGCCUGACGGAGCAGCGCCGCGUGAGUGAUGAAGGUCUUCGGAUCGUAAAACUCUGUUAUUUGGGAAGAACAUAUGUGUAAGUAACUGUGCACAUCUUGACGGUACCUAAUCAGAAAGCCACGGCUAACUACGUG